rnacentral:pre_miRNA from 7 species
CACUAGUCCUGAAAGACCCCCAAAGGGAGACCCUCACUCAAGUCUCAGGAUAAUAGCGGACCCCCAAGAACUCACGAGAGACC